rnacentral:rRNA from 1 species
GACGAACCGUGCAAACGUUAUUCGGAAUCACUGGGCUUAAAGCGCGUGUAGGCGGCCUGACGCGUCCGAGGCUGAAAGCCCCCGGCUCAACCGGGGAACGGGCCCGGAUACGGUCAGGCUCGAGGGGGGUAGGGGGAGCCGGAACUUCCGGUGGAGCGGUGAAAUGCGUUGAGAUCGGAAGGAACGCCCGUGGCGAAAGCGGGCUCCUGGACCCCGCCUGACGCUCAGACGCGAAAGCCAGGGGAGCGAACGGG